GACAGAGGGGGCGAGCGUUGACCGGAGUAACUGGGCGUAAAGCGCGCGCAGGCGGCAACCUUAGAGUCGUGUGAAAGCCCCCGGCUCAACCGGGGGAGGCCAUGGCAAACUGGGUCGCUCGAGCUGCGGAGAGGCCCCUCGAAUUGCCGGUGUAGCGGUGAAAUGCGUAGAGAUCGGCAGGAAGACCAAGGGGGAAGCCAGGGGGCUGGCCGCAGGCUGACGAUGAGGCGCGACAGCGUGGGGAGCAAACCGG
rnacentral:rRNA from 1 species